rnacentral:rRNA from 1 species
CCUACGGGAGGCAGCAGUGAGGAAUAUUGGUCAAUGGGCGGAAGCCUGAACCAGCCAAGUAGCGUGCGGGAUGAAGGCCCUACGGGUCGUAAACCGCUUUUGCACGGGGGUAACACCCUCCACUUGUGGAGGUCUGCAGGUACCGUGCGAAUAAGGGCCGGCUAAUUCCGUGCCAGCAGCCGCGGUAAUACGGAAGGCCCGAGCGUUAUCCGGAUUCAUUGGGCUUAAAGGGAGCGUAGGCGGGCGUUCAAGUUAGCGGUAAAAUCGGGGGGCUCAACCGCGACCCGCAGUUGAAACUGGACGGCUUGAGUGCACAACAGGCAGGCGGAAUUCGUGGUGUAGCGGUGAAAUGCAUAGAUAUCA